CAGUCGCCACGGGAACACGUAGGGUGCAAGCGUUAAUCGGAAUUACUGGGCGUAAAGCGUGCGCAGGCGGUUAUAUAAGACAGAUGUGAAAUCCCCGGGCUCAACCUGGGAACUGCAUUUGUGACUGUAUAGCUAGAGUACGGCAGAGGGGGAUGGAAUUCCGCGUGUAGCAGUGAAAUGCGUAGAUAUGCGGAGGAACACCGAUGGCGAAGGCAAUCCCCUGGGCCUGUACUGACGCUCAUGCACGAAAGCGUGGGGAGCAAACAGGAUUAGAUACCCGCGUAGUCCCUGUCUCUUAUAU
rnacentral:rRNA from 1 species